rnacentral:rRNA from 1 species
AUUGAACGCUGGCGGCAGGCCUAACACAUGCAAGUCGAACGGUAACAGGAAGAAGCUUGCUUCUUUGCUGACGAGUGGCGGACGGGUGAGUAAUGUCUGGGAAACUGCCUGAUGGAGGGGGAUAACUACUGGAAACGGUAGCUAAUACCGCAUAACGUCGCAAGACCAAAGAGGGGGACCUUCGGGCCUCUUGCCAUCGGAUGUGCCCCGAUGGGAUUAGCUAGUAGGUGGGGUAACGGCUCACCUAGGCGACGAUCCCUAGCUGGUCUGAGAGGAUGACCAGCCACACAGGAACUGAGACACGGUCCAGACUCCUACGGGAGGCAGCAGUGGGGAAUAUUGCACAAUGGGCGCAAGCCUGAUGCAGCCAUGCCGCGUGUAUGAAGAAGGCCUUCGGGUUGUAAAGUACUUUCAGCGGGGAGGAAGGGAGUAAAGUUAAUACCUGUGCUCAUUGACGUUACCCGCAGAAGAAGCACCGGCUAACUCCGUG